CUGUCUCCAGAUGUGGAGGUGAAGCAGCAGCGUGUUAAUGUCUCUGUGUGUUUUCUGUCUCCAGAUGUGGAGGUGAAGCAGCAGCAGUGUUAAUGUCUCUGUGUGUUUUCUGUCUCCAGAUGUGGAGGUGAA